AGCAGCCGCGGUAAUUCCAGCUCCAAUAGCGUAUAUUAAAGUUGUUGCAGUUAAAAAGCUCGUAGUUGAAUUUCGGGAUCAAUAUGUUGGUCGUGCCUCGGUACGUACUAGCAUAUUGGUUUCUCCUUUCUGAAGAACCAUGAUGUCAUUUAUUUGGUGUCGUGGGGAAUCAGGACUGUUACUUUGAAAAAAUUAGAGUGUUUAAAGCAAGCUAACGCUUGAAUACAUUAGCAUGGAAUAAUGAAAUAGGACGUUCGAACCUAUUUUGUUGGUUUCUAGGAUUGACGUAAUGAUUAAUAGGGAUAGUUGGGGGCAUUAGUAUUCAAUUGUCAGAGGUGAAAUUCUUGGAUUUAUUGAAGACUAACUACUGCGAAAGCAUUUGCCAAGGAUGUUUUCAUUAAUCAAGAACGAAAGUUAGGGGAUCGAAGACGAUCAGAUACCGUCGUAGUCUUAACCAUAAACUAUGCCGACUAGGGAUCGGAUGAUGUUAAUUUUUAAUGACUCAUUCGGCGCCUUACGG
rnacentral:misc_RNA from 1 species